rnacentral:rRNA from 1 species
UGGGGAAUUUUGGACAAUGGGCGCAAGCCUGAUCCAGCCAUGCCGCGUGCAGGAUGAAGGCCCUCGGGUUGUAAACUGCUUUUGUACGGAACGAAAAGCCUCUUUCUAAUAAAGAGGGGUGAUGACGGUACCGUAAGAAUAAGCACCGGCUAACUACGUGCCAGCAGCCGCGGUAAUACGUAGGGUGCGAGCGUUAAUCGGAAUUACUGGGCGUAAAGCGUGCGCAGGCGGUUUUGUAAGACAGAUGUGAAAGCCCCGGGCUUAACCUGGGAAUUGCGUUUGAAACUACAAGACUAGAGUGCAGCAGAGGGUAGUGGAAUUCCAUGUGUAGCAGUGAAAUGCGUAGAGAUGUAGAAGAACACCGAUGGCGAAGGCAGCUCCCUGGGUUGACACUGACGCUCAUGCACGAAAGCGUGGGGAGCAAACA